rnacentral:rRNA from 1 species
CAGCCGUAAACUAUGCGCGUUAGGUGUACUGGUGACCACGAGUCACCGGGGUGCCGAAGGGAAACCGUGAAACGUGCCGCCUGGGAAGUACGGUCGCAAGGCUGAAACUUAAAGGAAUUGGCGGGGGGAGCACCACAACAGGUGGAGCCUGCGGUUUAAUUGGAUUCAACGCCGGACAUCUCACCGGAUAAGACAGCUGAAUGAUUGUCAAUCUGAAGGUUUUACAUGACUAGCUGAGAGGUGGUGCAUGGCGUCAGUGACU